rnacentral:misc_RNA from 1 species
GAUGAAGAACGCAGCGAAAUGCGAUACGUAAUGUGAAUUGCAAAUUCAGUGAAUCAUCGAGUCUUUGAACGCACAUUGCGCCCCCUGGUAUUCCGGGGGGCAUGCCUGUCCGAGCGUCAUUGCUGCCCUCAAGCAUGGCUUGUGUGUUGGGCCCCGUCCUCCGAUCCCGGGGGACGGGCCCGAAAGGCAGCGGCGGCACCGCGUCCGGUCCUCGAGCGUAUGGGGCUUUGUCACCCGCUCUGUAGGCCCGGCCGGCGCUUGCCGAUCAACCCAAAUUUUUAUCCAGGUUGACCUCGGAUCAGGUAGGGAUACCCGCUGAACUUAAGCAUAUCAAUAAGCGGAGGA